AUUGAACGCUGGCGGCAUGCCUUACACAUGCAAGUCGAACGGUAACAGGUCUUCGGAUGCUGACGAGUGGCGAACGGGUGAGUAAUACAUCGGAACGUGCCCGAUCGUGGGGGAUAACGAAGCGAAAGCUUUGCUAAUACCGCAUAAGAUCUACGGAUGAAAGCAGGGGACCGCAAGGCCUUGCGCGAACGGAGCGGCCGAUGGCAGAUUAGGUAGUUGGUGGGAUAAAAGCUUACCAAGCCGACGAUCUGUAGCUGGUCUGAGAGGACGAUCAGCCACACUGGGACUGAGACACGGCCCAGACUCCUACGGGAGGCAGCAGUGGGGAAUUUUGGACAAUGGGCGAAAGCCUGAUCCAGCAAUGCCGCGUGCAGGAUGAAGGCCUUCGGGUUGUAAACUGCUUUUGUACGGAACGAAAAGCUCUGGGUUAAUACCUCGGGAGGAUGACGGUACCUGAAGAAUAAGCACCGGCUAACUACGUGCCAGCAGCCGCCGUAACAC
rnacentral:rRNA from 1 species